rnacentral:tRNA from 1 species
UUUAAAGUAUUUGAAAAGUUCAAAGGUAUGGUUACUAAUCAAGUCUCAUGAAUUUGUUAUUUAGGUUCGAUUCCUAACUUUGAAA